GUUUUAAACUUGAUAGUGCCGGUAAUACUUUGCCCUAAUGAGUGUCGCGUCUCGAACUCUCGGCACACGCUCGUCGGCAGAGCAUAGAUAAACCAUGAAACGCUUGAACAUCGACGUAGGAUCAGAGAGUCUACUCUCAAAAACGAAAUCCGUUGUUUCGGAUGACGGAUCGUACAUUUUCUUACUACGAAGUGUUACGGAUCCGAUGACGGAUUCGACGACGGAUCCGUAAUCGGAUUUUGACACUUAUGACAUUUUUACUUUCGUCGACCGCACUAUGAAAACACAUUUGACAUAAAAUACUUCGUUUCUGCGUUCGGAUCUUAGCGUCAAUUUUACGAAAGCUCUAAUCCUUUCGUUUGAUUUUCGUUUGGUACUUCAGAGGUUUUAAAAUUGCUCAAUAACUCCUGUGUGAAGAAUUGUUGCGAUAGGAAAGUGCUGGGCGAAGUUGAAAGCGUCUCUAACUGCGUAAAACCUUCGUAACAUGGAAUUUGUAAGAACUUAUAGGACUUUGCCACCCCUUUUUGAAACCAUCUGCGAGGAUAUAGUUCCACUAAUUCCUCCAAAGCACAUAUACGGGGAAUUGAUACUACCACUAAGGAGAUGUUAGGGAGCUGUGGAACUAAGUAUAGAUGGGUCCAUGGGCCAGCAAACAGUCUCUGAGUGCCUCAGGCAAGUGUCUGAGUCAGCCUCAUAUAUUGACUAAAUUUAUAAAAUUUCCACAAAACCGACAAGAAAGGACUCUUAUUAAAGAAUAGUGAGUUAAUAGAUAUUAAUCAUCAAUUCUUAGAAAGUACCUAAGUGUCAUCCACAUAACAUUAGCCUUUAAUUUAAAAUAAAUUUAAACACUCUAUUUACUUAGGUUAAACAAGCCAUUCAUAAUUUCUCAUUUUUUCAUAAAUAUGUAAUUCCAGGCAUAUGUGGGUGCAUUGACUGCACUCAUAUAACCCUUAGAAAACUUAUGAAUUUUAUGCCAUCCUUUGUAGAAAGUGCCUAUGACUUUGAAUUUAUUAGACUUUAAACAUAAUAUGUUUUCUUGUUUCAGAAUCAAAUAAUUAAACAACUACUAACUCGCUAGAGCUGCCAUAACCAACACUGCAUCACGCAUGGAAGAUUAACUACCAAAUAUAUGUUAUCGGAAAAUAAAACAUUAUUACAAUCAUUUU